CGGAACGGGUGAGUAACGCGUGAGGAACCUGCCUCAAAGAGGGGGACAACAGUUGGAAACGGCUGCUAAUACCGCAUAAGCCCACGGCUCGGCAUCGAGCAGAGGGAAAAGGAGCAAUCCGCUUUGAGAUGGCCUCGCGUCCGAUUAGCUAGUUGGUGAGGUAACGGCCCACCAAGGCGACGAUCGGUAGCCGGACUGAGAGGUUGAACGGCCACAUUGGGACUGAGACACGGCCCAG
rnacentral:rRNA from 1 species